ACCUGUCCUGAAGGAUGGAGGAUAUCCUGUGGUACCUGUUAUUUACGCUCUGAUAAGUCUGGUUCUUGGGAUAAAGGCAGAGAGGACUGUAAAGGCAAAGGAGGAGAUCUGGUGGUGAUAGACAGCACUGAAGAACAGAGGUUUCUCUAUACAUUAACCAAUGAAGACACAUGGAUUGGUUUGAGCGACCGAGAAGAGGAAGGGACCUGGAAAUGGAUAGAUGGAACUCCAAAGACUCUGACGUACGGAGCAGUAUGGCAGUCUGAUAAUGGUGGUGGAGAUCCACGUUGGGGCGAAGAGGAUUGUGCACAUUUGAUACCUUACACCAAUGAGUGGAAUGACCGGUCCUGUGAAACUUCUUUGCGAUGGAUCUGUGAGAAAGUAGCCUAAAAUCGGUGUAUGUUUUAAGAGUCUACAUUUGAUAAUGCCUUUUCAAUGUAUGCUAUAAUAAUGCAAGGUGUUUAGAAAUGAUUGUUCUUGUAUGUAGACAUGAGAUCAUGCUGUAGCAAUGUCUCUUAGUUACAGUUCAUCCAAUUUAUCAAAGCCUUUUUCUGAUGUAAAGGUUAAACUUAAUUUGAAAAUACAGUAAAUCAGAAAUCUAAAUCUUUAUGUUGCUUGUAUAAGUACAAUACAUUUCUAUAGUAAACAGAUACAGUAGAAAAAAAUAAACACCCACAAUUACAUUUUCUUAUAUCACUGUAUAUAAUACUGCUGCAAUAUACCACGAGAAUAUUGUUACUCCAACUGAUAUUUCCAGCUGUUCAGGGUGUUGACUUUUAUUUUACCUGGGAGCCUGUGGUCAUCUGUUUUGCAUCAUUACAUGAUGCUGAGUUUUAUAGAGAAUAAUCUCAUGUGUGCACUUCUUGUCAUGGUUUUGGGGUUUUUGUAGUGUUUGGUUUUUCUUGUGGUUUUGUUGACAAGCUUUUCUCGUUGUUUGUUUUCUUGUCCCCCGAGUGUGUAUGUCAUCUUAUCUUAUGUCAUCUGCUCAUUAGUCAAGUUCCCAUUUUACAGAGUGUUAUGACAGCACAUAAGAUAUUACAAGAACAUCUAAGGUAAUGAUUAAUUUGCUCAUACAAUAUACACUCAC